rnacentral:rRNA from 1 species
UACGUAGGGCGCAAGCGUUGUCCGGAAUUAUUGGGCGUAAAGGGCUCGUAGGCGGUUUGUCGCGUCGGGAGUGAAAUCCACUGGCUUAACUGGUGGCUUGCUUUCGAUACGGGCAGACUGGAGGUAUGCAGGGGAGAACGGAAUUCCUGGUGUAGCGGUGAAAUGCGCAGAUAUCGGGAGGAACACCGGUGGCGAAGGCGGUUCUCUGGGCCUUACCUGACGCUGAGGAGCGAAAGCAUGGGGAGCGAACAGGG